GUCUAUGGCCAUGCCACCCUGAACAAGCCCGAUCCAUGCCCCCUGAACAAACUCGAUCCCGUCUGAUCUCGGAAGCUAAGCAGGGUCGGGCCUGGUUAGUACUUGAAUGGGAGACCACCUAGGAAGACCAGGUGAUGUAGGUG
rnacentral:rRNA from 1 species